CGCGGCGCAGCGGAGCAGGCUCGGGCCGGGCUCGGCGCUGCCCGUAACGGAGCUCCAGGGGGUGUUGCGGGAUGAACGGGUACAGUCAGGCAAAAUUGUCCAGGCUGGGCUGGUGGAAGGUGGAAGAACUGGAAUGAAAUGGGAUUUAAGGUCCCUCCCAACACAAACCAGUCCAGGAUUCUGGGAUUUUCUGGGCUUCUACAUCCAAAAGUACAAACAAAUUCAGAUCUGUGCACAUCAAGUGGAAGCCAAGACUGAGAGCAUCUGUUGGACACAAGACCCACCUGAUAUUCCCAGGAAUCCUUUAAGGAUGAGCGAAGAGAUAAAGAUGGAGAAGUUUCUGGGCAGAUUCUGGGCAGAAUUCUGUGAAUUUUAGUAACGGAG